AUUGAACGCUGGCGGCAGGCCUAACACAUGCAAGUCGAACGGUAACAGGAAGCAGCUUGCUGCUUUGCUGACGAGUGGCGGACGGGUGAGUAAUGUCUGGGAAACUGCCCGAUGGAGGGGGAUAACUACUGGAAACGGUAGCUAAUACCGCAUAACGUCGCAAGACCAAAGAGGGGGACCUUAGGGCCUCUUGCCAUCGGAUGUGCCCAGAUGGGAUUAGCUAGUAGGUGGGGUAACGGCUCACCUAGGCGACGAUCCCUAGCUGGUCUGAGAGGAUGACCAGCCACACUGGAACUGAGACACGGUCCAGACUCCUACGGGAGGCAGCAGUGGGGAAUAUUGCACAAUGGGCGAAAGCCUGAUGCAGCCAUGCCGCGUGUAUGAAGAAGGCCUUCGGGUUGUAAAGUACUUUCAGCGGGGAGGAAGGGAGUAAAGUUAAUACCUGUGCUCAUUGACGUUACCCGAAGAAGAAGCACCGGCUAACUCCGUG
rnacentral:rRNA from 1 species